CAGCAUGUCUUUAGUUUCGGUUGUCAUCAAACAUGUUAUGACAGUCAUUGGUAUCAACUACGUUGAUUCUUGUGAUAAUGAGAAAAUAUUUUUUGGAGGAUUUAUGAAUCUAAGUUUAUUAGGUCUUGGCAAGACAAGUUGUAAGGCUAAGUAACUAUAGUGUACAUCUAUGGGCUAGAUGCUAGAUCUCUAUAAACAUCCGGGUAGCCUAUUCGUGUAUCCUCGCCCGAUACCAGAGAAUAGUCUCAGCGAAUAGAUCUGCUGCCGAUACGCGACGGCUGACUGGCUGCUGGUGGAUUCACAAUUCGCCUUAUUUCGCAUUCUCCCUCCACUGCCUAGCUAUUGUAUAGAAAAAGAUCCAGAAGGAAGCAUAAACAGUUACAGGUCUAGAUCGUAGUUUCCUUGUUGCUUUUCAUUUGACUCAAAAAUUCGUGUGAAGAAGGUGAAAAAUGCAUCUUUUUUAUUGUCAGUAGUCUGCCGCCUGGGCCAUGUCCGUCCAUUUCUGCCGGGCGAACCGACAAAACAACAAUUAUUCGACUAUAUCAGUCAUCUGGAUAUAUCUAGAUUUAAACGUGAUUUUCAGUUGAAACUGUAGACUAAAUGUUACCAAACAUUAAUGAAAGUCAUUAUUGAUGUCGGCUUCAUUUUCAGCAUAAAUAAUUCUAAAAGCCAAUGAUUAAUGUGAGAUAAAUCGACCAAAUUUCAUUUCGUUUGGUCAGCGAGACACGAAGUAAAUUUGUCACGUAUUACGUAUUCGGAUUUAGAGCGACGGUCGUGCUCUCAUGACAGGAAAAUGGCGACUGCCACUGUGCCAAGUUCGGGACGGGCGACUCAAUAACAAUUUUGGCUGGCUGGAAACUUGAAAGCAGAAAAAAAGUGACUGCGACGACAAUACAAAGAAAUCAUAGUGGGGCAAGGUUCAGAGUAAAAGAUCAACUUGGAUUUUGCUUCCAACGAAACAUUAGGCGGGGGUAUUACAUCAGGACUGAAGCCUUUUCUCCCCAAGCUAAAAUUUUUUAAAGUUCAUUGAUAAACAUAAUACUUGUGAUGCCAUCGAGGUCGACACUUCAUCGUCGAAAGCAGAAAGAACAGGAUCCUGAAAAAUAUCAGGAAUAUCUUCAAAUAAAGCGAGAAAAAGGCAUAAAAUGGCGGGCUGAGGAGAGGAGGAGAUGGGAAACAGAGCCUCAUACGAGGGCGCAAGUGGAGGAGAGGAACAGGAAGCUGGAGGUAAAAAGAGAAAGGUCGCGAGCAGCCUACUAUAGAAGGAAGGCUGAAGCAACACGGCAGACCCAAAACUCUAUAAAGGCACGAGGUUCAGCUUCCUGUCGGAAAAAAUUAAAAGAUAUGACUCUGGAUGAAUUGAGGACCUACAAUGCAAUGAUGAGAAGAAAGCAACGUGCUGCUUUAAGCCACCAAAAAAAACGUGCCAUUCGGGUGAAAGAAACAGAGAGGAAGCGCCAGGCUAGGCUGGCCAAACGUUGCGGCAAACAGAAAAGUGUUGCAAAAAGAAAACCGUCAUCAAGUGAACAGCUGCAGCAGGUUAUGAUCAACGAUCUCAACGUGUGUAAAGCCGAGCCGACAGAGGUUGUUGAGAUGACGGGCGCAGAAUUUGCCAGAUCCGCCUUAAAUCUCCUGGGUCUUGUUGCGGAAUCCAGAAUGGCGAAGCGCGUCCUGAUUGGUUGUACAGGGAGUGUGGCCUCCAUCAAGAUUCCUCCCCUGGUGAACGCUCUCAGACAGUCGGGCUUUCAGAUGGACAUUAAGGUGGUGUCCACACAGAACGCCCUGCACUUUUUCAGCAAAGACGAGCUGGAUGUGCCUGUCUUGACGGACAAAGACGAAUGGGAGACCUGGUCUUCUGUACAAGAUCCUGUCUUGCACAUCGAGCUCCGACGCUGGGCUGACGUCUUCUUGAUUGCUCCCCUUGACGCCAACACGCUGGCCAAGAUGGCCAACGGACUGUGUGACAACUUACUGACGUGCGUGGUGAGAGCGUGGGACCCAGCGCGGCCGCUGCUCUUUGCGCCCGCCAUGAACACCUUCAUGUGGGAACACCCUCUGACCGCCCGCCACAUCGCUGCCCUCACAGACCUGGGGUACCGGGAGGUACCGUGUGUCAGGAAAAAGCUGGCUUGUGGGGACAUAGGCUACGGAGCCAUGGCGGAGGUUCCCACGUUAGUGGCGGCGGUGGAGGAGGCGCUGGUCGCUGCAGACAUGGCGAGUGUCGCGAGCUGACCGUCGAACGACCGGACCACUGUCUUGCUCUGUGUGGGAGGAAACUUUCAGUAUAAAUUAACAGCCACAAGUAUGCUGGCCGUCCGUCUAACAUCCCCCGACCCCAGCACACGCCAAGACACGUCAUGUCAGCUACACACGUGUUGGGGUGAAGGAAAGCUUCUGAUUGGUUGCACAAGAUGUACACAAUAGUCUAGGCCAAGCUGUGAUGAUCCCCGGUGGUGGUGGGAUGGAAGGUCCGCUGGGAACAGAAUCAACUCUUGUCUCUGACUCGAAGCUUUGUUGCAGGAGAAAUAUGCGUGAAGCCACAUCAGCGGAGACUGUUGGCGACAUCAGCGCUUUCUUGUCCUAUCUCCAUUUUUAAUAACAGUGAAAACAGUUCGUAACGAAAAGUGAGCUUAAGAAGAAGUC